rnacentral:rRNA from 1 species
UGCGCAGGCGGUUUUAUAAGCCAGAUGUGAAAUCCCCGGGCUUAACCUGGGAACUGCAUUUGGAGCUGUAAGGCUAGAGUACGGCAGAGGGGGGUAGAAUUCCACGUGUAGCAGUGAAAUGCGUAGAUAUGUGGAGGAAUACCGAUGGCGAAGGCAGCCCCCUGGGUCGAUACUGACGCUCAUGCACGAAAGCGUGGGAGCAAACA